GACGAACGCUGGCGGCGUGCUUAACACAUGCAAGUCGAACGGAAAGGCCCUUUUUUUGUGGGUUGCUCGGGUGGCGAACGGAAGGGUAGCACGUGAGUAACCUGCCCUUCCCUUUUCUUUAGCUUCACGACACUGGGGCUUAUCCAGUAUAGGAUAUCCUGCUUCUUUGUGGUGGUUGGUAUGUUUCGGCGGUUGUAGCUGGACUCGCGGGUUUUCAGCUUGUUGGUGGGGUUGUGGCGGUCCAAGGCUUUGACGGGUGGCCGGCCUGAGAGGGUGACAGGCAACAUUGGGACUGAGAUACGGCCCAGACGCGUACGGGAGGCAGCAGUGGGGAAUAGUGCAAAAUGGGCGGAAGCCGGAAGCAGCAAAGCCGCGUGCGGGAUGACGGCCUUCGGGUAGUAAACCGCUUUCGCCUGUGAUGAAGCGGGAGUGACGGUAAUGGGUAAAGAAGCACCGGCUAACUACGUG
rnacentral:rRNA from 1 species